rnacentral:rRNA from 1 species
GACGAACGCUGGCGGCGUGCUUAACACAUGCAAGUCGAACGGUAAGGCCCUUCGGGGUACACGAGUGGCGAACGGGUGAGUAACACGUGGGUGAUCUGCCCUGCACUUCGGGAUAAGCCUGGGAAACUGGGUCUAAUACCGGAUAGGACCACUGCCUGCAUGGGUGGUGGUGGAAAGCUUUUGCGGUGUGGGAUGGGCCCGCGGCCUAUCAGCUUGUUGGUGGGGUGAUGGCCUACCAAGGCGACGACGGGUAGCCGGCCUGAGAGGGUGACCGGCCAAACUGGGACUGAGAUACGGCCCAGACUCCUACGGGAGACAGCAGUGGGGAAUAUUGCACAAUGGGCGCAAGCCUGAUGCAGCGACGCCGCGUGAGGGAUGACGGCCUUCGGGUUGUAAACCUCUUUCAGCACCGACGAAGCGCAAGUGACGGUAGGUGCAGAAGAAGGACCGGCCAACUACGUGCCAGCCGCCGCGGUAA